rnacentral:rRNA from 1 species
GAUGAACGCUGGCGGCGCGCCUAACACAUGCAAGUCGAACGGCACCUAUCUUCGGAUAGAAGCGAGUGGCGAACGGCUGAGUAACACGUGGAGAACCUGCCCCCUCCCCGGGAUAGCCGCCCGAAAGGACGGGUAAUACCGGAUACCCCGGGGUGCCGCAUGGCACCCCGGCUAAAGCCCCGACGGGAGGGGAUGGCUCCGCGGCCCAUCAGGUAGGCGGCGGGGUGACGGCCCACCGUGCCGA